UCAGUAAAUUGAUUGAUGAUGAUGGUACC
rnacentral:piRNA from 1 species